GCAUAUCAAUAAGCGGAGGAAAAGAACCUAACAAAGGAUUCCCCUAGUAACGGCGAGUGAAGAGGGAAGAGCUCAAAUUUUAAAAUCUACCUUGUUUCAAGGUCGAGUUGUAAUUUGAAAGAUGCGUUUUCUCGGGCCCGCACCGGUAGAAGUUCUCUUUGGAACAGGGCAUCAUAGAGGGUGAUAAUCCCGUCUGUGGCCGGUCGCGAGUUCGUAUACGAUACGCACUCUAAGAGUCGAGUUGUUUGGGAUUGCAGCUCAAAACGGGUGGUAAACAUCACCUAAGGCUAAAUAUUGGCGAGAGACCGAUAGCGAACAAGUACCGUGAGGGAAAGAUGAAAAGAACUUUGAAAAGAGAGUUAAACAGUACGUGAAAUUGUUGAAAGGGAAACGCUUGAAGUCAGUCGUGCUGGCAUGAAAUCAACUGUUGCGCUAGUAAGUUGUCUGCGGGUGAGCUAAAAACCAUCGCGUUGACAUCUUUGCGCGCGCAGCGGUGCACUUUUGUGUCAGCUGGUUAGCAUCAAUUUCGACCGUCAUAAAAAGGCUGGGGGGAUGUGGCUCCUUCGGGAGUGUUAUAACCCUUAGCGGAAUGUGGUGGACGAGAUUGAGGUUUGCAACGGGUGUUGCUCUACCUGGCCUCUCGCUGGCGCCCUGGAGGCGACAGCUCGCUGACGUCUUUGGGAAGUGCUGACGAAAAGGUUAGAGCGGAGUUGCCCUUUUUUAUGCUGACGUAAUGGCUUUAAACGAC
rnacentral:rRNA from 1 species